CCUACGGGUGGCUGCAGUGGGGAAUAUUGGACAAUGGGGGGAACCCUGAUCCAGCCAUGCCGCGUGUGUGAAGAAGGCCCUCGGGUUGUAAAGCACUUUCAGUGAGGAAGAACGCCUGGUGGUUAAUACCCAUCAGGAAAGACAUCACUCACAGAAGAAGCACCGGCUAACUCCGUGCCAGCAGCCGCGGUAAUACGGAGGGUGCGAGCGUUAAUCGGAAUUACUGGGCGUAAAGCGCGCGUAGGUGGCUUGAUAAGCCGGUUGUGAAAGCCCCGGGCUCAACCUGGGAACGGCAUCCGGAACUGUCAAGCUAGAGUGCAGGAGAGGAAGGUAGAAUUCCCGGUGUAGCGGUGAAAUGCGUAGAGAUCGGGAGGAAUACCAGUGGCGAAGGCGGCUUUCUGGACUGAAACUGACACUGAGGUGCGAAAGCGUGGGUAGCAAACAGGAUUAGAUACCCCAGUAGUC
rnacentral:rRNA from 1 species